rnacentral:rRNA from 1 species
UACGUAGGGGGCGAGCGUUGUCCGUAUUUAUUGGGCGUAAAGAGCUCGUAGGCGGCUCGGUAAGUCGGAUGUGAAACCUCCAGGCUCAACCUGGAGACGCCAUCUGAUACUGCCGUGGCUUGAGUCCGGUAGAGGAGCAGGGAAUUCCUGGUGUAGCGGUGAAAUGCGCAGAUAUCAGGAGGAACACCUGCGGUGUAGACGGCUUACUGGACCAUAACUGACGCUGAGGCACGAAAGCGUGGGUAGCAAACAGG